CUUUGGCUCAGAAAGCAAAACACAAGUGUAUGCGCAUCUGCACGAAUUACUCCAGAAACCUUCCAUGCACAGCAUAGAGAGCAUAUGUUAUGAUGACGCCUGUCAUCU